rnacentral:rRNA from 1 species
UGGGGAAUAUUGGACAAUGGGCGAAAGCCUGAUCCAGCCAUGCCGCGUGUGUGAAGAAGGUCUUCGGAUUGUAAAGCACUUUAAGUUGGGAGGAAGGGCAGUAAGCGAAUACCUUGCUGUUUUGACGUUACCGACAGAAUAAGCACCGGCUAACUCUGUGCCAGCAGCCGCGGUAAUACAGAGGGUGCAAGCGUUAAUCGGAAUUACUGGGCGUAAAGCGCGCGUAGGUGGUUCGUUAAGUUGAAUGUGAAAGCCCCGGGCUCAACCUGGGAACUGCAUCCAAAACUGGCGAGCUAGAGUAGGGCCGAGGGUGGUGGAAUUUCCUGUGUAGCGGUGAAAUGCGUAGAUAUAGGAAGGAACACCAGUGGCGAAGGCGACCACCUGGGCUCAUUCUGACACUGAGGUGCGAAAGCGUGGGGAGCAAACAGG